rnacentral:rRNA from 1 species
AACGAACGCUGGCGGCAGGCCUAACACAUGCAAGUCGAACGUGAAGCCACCUUCGGGUGGUGGAAAGUGGCAGACGGGUGAGUAACGCGUGGGAACGUGCCUUUCGGUUCGGAAUAACCCAGGGAAACUUGGGCUAAUACCGGAUACGCCCUCCGGGGGAAAGAUUCAUCGCCGAAAGAUCGGCCCGCGUCGGAUUAGCUUGUUGGUGGGGUAAAAGCCUACCAAGGCGACGAUCCGUAGCUGGUCUGAGAGGAUGAUCAGCCACACUGGGACUGAGACACGGCCCAGACUCCUACGGGAGGCAGCAGUGGGGAAUAUUGGACAAUGGGCGAAAGCCUGAUCCAGCCAUGCCGCGUGGGUGAAGAAGGCCCUAGGGUUGUAAAUCCCUUUCAGCGGGGAAGAUAAUGACGGUACCCGCAGAAGAAGCCCCGGCUAACUCCGUG